rnacentral:sRNA from 1 species
CUUGCCAGGGUACUCCUUCAUCCUCCCCGUGUCUAGGGGUCGCUGCCUCGUCCUUCCCGUGGCCGCACGGACGGACCUCAGUUUAUCUACCCACUCACCA